GGGCCAGCCAUGGGAAGAAGGUGAGCCAUGGAAACCUGUAGUCUGUGCUGGAAAAUAAGUGACUGGGAAUGUGACUAACUUGCUGCAAGACGUUAUUUCUGGGACGUCUCUUGACCCGUGUGCACAGAUGAUGAACAAUUUCUCCUUUCUGGGUUGGCUUCUUUGCCUCUUGGUGCAGAAAUUGUCCUGAAAGCACGCCAGGAACCUAAGUCAUAGGUAAGCAGUAGAAAUUGUUUUAUUUAUGAAAGAUGCAGCUCUGUUAAUAUGCACAUAAA
rnacentral:lncRNA from 1 species